rnacentral:lncRNA from 1 species
CCCUCCCCACACGCCCGCUGUCCACGCGCUGCGGCCUUGGAGUAACUGCUGUUCUUAAAGGCUGCCUCCGUCCUGCCGCGCGGCCUUUAGAGGGUUGGAGCUGGCAGAACCGUAACUCCCUCUCUGAGGCAUCCCCAAAGAACAUUCAAGUCUGAGCCUCAAGGAGCCUCUGCGACUCGGUGUCUAGAUCCAGGAAAUGGAGAAUGAGCCGUGACUUUGGAUGCUUCACUCUUGUCCAUCAGGCUCGGAAUUGGUGAGCAUCUCCCACAUUACCGUCUCCAACGGAACAAGGUGCCCCAUUGGACAUUUCCUCUGCAUGGACCAGCCAUUCUCCAAAUCUGCCCCCAUGUCACCCCAGCUCCCCAUCGCAGUCACUUCUCACUCCUUGUCCCCUGUCCCCCUGAGUGACAGGACUUUUGCCAGUUAGGUCCUGUCCCUGUUUCUGAUCUUGGGUCCAUUCCCCAUGGUCCCUUUCUUGCUUGUGCCUUGGGAUCUCAGGCCUGUUGAAGUAGGAGGCAGGACUCAACUUCAGACCAGAUUGAAGACUGGCUGACACAGAAGAGGCACCAAAAGCACCUCUCUCUCCAUAAGACAUGCCCACCAGUGCCAUGACAGUUUACCAUUGCUAUGGCAAUGCCCAGAAGUUCUCACCCCUUUUCCAGACAUUUCUGCAUAAUCUACCCCUCAAUUGGCAUGUGAUCAAAAGUGGGUGUCAAAAUGACUGUGGAACUGUCCCUGAGCUGCUACUCUUGACAUGCUGGUUACAGGGUAGCCCGGCUCUGCAGGGACAGUCACGGAGCUGAAAAACUGCUGCCUAAUGAAGCUGUUUUCUUCUA